UUGAUGGUGGGUAUUGUGGGAUUGAGAUAGGAAGAAGGAUGAAGAGAAAUGAUGUUGGUACUUGACGAAGCCUCAUGUCUUGUGAAAGACUUGAGGGGGUGGGAUAGCUAAUGAAGGGACCUAUAGCAUGUGGGGGAUUUACUCCUUAUUUAAAGUGGGAGAUGUAGACUUGGUUUGAAUUAAGAAUGCGGGUCUUGGUGUCAACACUAACGGAUUACGAGGAAUCAACACCUCAUAUUCGAUUUCAAACUUUGAUAUAGACAGCCUAGGGAAUGCUUCAUAUUGGCCUCAACAUCAACAAAAGAAGACCCAAUUUUUUUUUUUUGGGUAGUUCAGUGGAGAUGAAGAGCCCCUACCCGUUUUUAAAAUCAUUAGUGGUUUUUGAAUGCGUUAGGUGAGAAUGAAAGCCUAGACCGUAGCUGGCACACGAGUGAUGAAAGAAUACCUAGUUUUGCGAAAUAAAAUUGACUUGCAUAAUCUCACUUUCCCAAACUUUAUCUGUUCUAAAAUUACGUAGAGUGGGAAACUAGUUCCUUUACUAAAUAAAAUGGCAAGACAUCUUCUACAUUACUUUGACUGAAACUUGGAAGUCCCUUUUAAUAAUGAAUAGGGAAAGAAAGACUCAGACAUUCCUAAUUGUAGUCAUUGUUUGGGAAGGCGAAAGGUGCCACCGAGGUGGGCAAGGGCACGGGUUGCCCAAGCUGAUCCUUAACUGCAUAGCCAGGUGUCUCAUGAAUGAAAAGCCCUGCAUACGAUACAGGGGUUUGAUGUUGGAUGCCAACUCCCCUCCAAUUUAAUUCUUCUUUUUUUCUCUUCAAAAAGGACAAGUUUGGUUCGUGCAACUUUUUGUCCGUGCAAGAUAUUGAACCUUUCUUGCAUGUUGUAGUCAUGACUCAUGAACAUCAAAUUAAAAAGACUAGAUGGAUGAAACUUGUAAUGUAAAAUUUUGAGACUUACUCAAACUUGAAUCAAAUAGCGAAUAAUCAUACAACAUACUAGGCACAUGACUAUUAAAUAACAUACUAACGGACAUAGGUCUCAUCGGGCAUGUGUGUCCCCUUCCAAGUCCAAAACAACAAUAAAAAAGUAACGGCAUUUUAAACUGAGUCUCAUUGUCGUCAUCCCCAACCUCAAACAUGAACAUCUACAUCAUCGUCAUCCUCCUUUGUCACCUCUUAGUUGGCCUCCUCUGCCUUCUCUUUUAUUGUCAUCAUGUUACCUUGUGAAGUUCUAGUGGCCUGCAUUGUAUUGGAAGAGGUUCCCGCAGCCUCAUGAAUUUCUCUCCAACUCAAUCCCUUCUCAGGGUCAUGUCGUCUUUUGCUCAUGGAUCACCCCUCACAAAUUUCCUUCAUGCUGCACAAUAAUGGGGUCACUGCCAAAAUGUCCUUGAUAGCUCGCCUACAAUUUAUCCUACAUGUGUACCAAACAUUUUUGUCUCUUUUACUAGAAUAUGUUUCUAUGUUAAUGUGGACUUGGUGUAUAAUGUGUGAAUGAGUGAUUUAGAAGAACUAAUUCAAGUUAGCGGUGGAAGGCUUAUGAGGACAGUUUGGACUUAAAAAAUUAUGCUCAAAUGAGCAGAAGCUGGCUCCCAACCGGAUGAGCUACACUUUGAGGUUCAAAAUGUAAACGGUGAUAAGUGCUUGUGUUGCCCACAUGUGUGCUCCAGCAUAGCACUAGAUUACAUGUCAAUGGCAUUUCAUAAAGACAGAUCCAUCAGUAUAGUCGUACAUAAGUGUAAUAGGAUUAUACUAGUAGGAUAUUAGUAUAACAAGGUUGUUCUGUUAUAGUAUAGCUCAUGUCACACUGAAUAAGAAAGCACAAAGAUUACUUGGAGGGACUAAAGUCCUUCGGAUUAUUAUUAUGUUUGAUAAUAAUAAUUAGACAUAAUUAUUUAAAAAAAGGGGAAAGUAUAUAAUGAGACCAUUUACCUUUGGUACAAGGUGGUCACAAUUAAUCUUGGCCAUUGGAUGUGAAAUUGGGAGGCUGCAUUUUUUUCAUUAACCAAACUCAAAGUUCAAAAGAAAUUUUUUCGAACUUUGUGACACACCCAAGCUAUCAGAUUUCACAUCAGAUGGUUGGAAGUGAUUGUGAUCUCCCUAUAUUAAAGGUAAAUGGUCUCAUUGUAUACAAUCCCUUAAAAAAAGGGAAGACAAAUAUUGUUAUACCUAUGCCAAGUGAGUCCACCAAAAACUUGUAUAUAUCCAACUCUAAAUUAAUGAGGUGUAGCUUCAGGUGUGGAGUGAUUAUCAUGUUGGAUAUGUAACAUAUUAAAUCCAUAAAUGAUAACAAUAUUUGAAAAUUUCUGAAUAAAAAGUGUUGUUGCUCUGGAAAACAAUGUUGUUGUUUGAGAUAAUACCCGGCUGCAUGCAAGAUACAAUGUUGCUUUCUUAUCCCAAUUUUCAUCUACAAUCUUUCAAUUUGGUCCAUAUUACGCUCAUCAUACCUCUGACCCCACAUCCUCCAUUCGCUUGUAGAUAUAACCAUUGGCUAGUAUCUCAUCAUCCACCAAGCAUAACGCCUAUACGAAUGGUUUGAAUGCUUGGAGGAAGCAAGCCACCGCAUUUCCAAACUUGGGAAUAUCAAGCAGCCUCGCCUCUUUUGUAUUUUUGGCCCACUUUGUUCUUCUCAGUUCUUCAUUGUCUAAAGACAUGGCCCUCAAUUUGUCUUCAUGGGCCAAGGGCAGGCAGCUGACAUCUUUGCUGCAAUCCUGUCUUUGACUAUCUAGACAUGUUGCUCCCGUCCUCCUCUAUACCUUGGUUAAGAUGCGUUGCGUGUUCCAUCCGGUGCAUCAAUGGACUAUAAAAGUAUUGUCUUCACUGGUCAAUUCACCCUGAAGUUCCUGAUACUUCUCCCCACCCCCAUGCCCUUUGGUCCACUGGAAUGGCCCAUUUAUGGGCCUUCUUUUUCUACAUUUCCUUGUAAGGGAACACACCCCACUGAUGUAGCUCAAGGUCUUCCUCAUGUGGAUACCAAUCUUUGGGGUAUGGUGAGGGCCCACCUUUGAGUUGUACUUUUUGGCAUUCCACUCUAGAGUUCUGUUUGGUGCAUCCUUGUUACUUGUCUGUGUAUAAGGUACCUUUUUUUUUUUUUAAUCAGGAUUCUAGCCAGAUGGGGCUCUUAAUGAUAAAUAAACUAUGGUGAGGCCCAAUUUUGGGUUGCACUUUUUGGCAUGCCCCUCUUAGAGUUUUGCGUAGUGCAUCCUCGUUACUACCUAUGUAUUAGGUGCCUCUUUGUUUUUUCUUUGAGUGUAUGUGUGUGUGUCAGGGUUCGAACCAAAUGGGGCUCUUAAUGAUAAAUACAUGCAAUUUGGGAUUGGGUUCUAAUUGUUUAUCUCUUUAUUUGUUCUAAAUAUUACAUUUGUUGUGUUCCUUUUUAUGUUUCUUUUUGUAAUUGGUGUUGGAAUUGCUCUUCCUCUUCUGAAUCGUUUCUGUGGAUUCUUUGACUUCUGACCUUAGGCUUUGAAAUGGGAUCCACCCUUAAGGCUACUCAAGGAUCUUUUUCAGAUAUGUAAGUCCAUGUUUGAUUCUUGUUCAGAUAUGUAAGUCCAUGUUUGAUUCACUUGAUGUUCGUCAUUUUUCCUUGUGGAGCACCAUCAAGACACUGCGUAUCUCUGAGAUGAUCAAUGUGAGUAGAUGUGCUACUCUCGCUUUUUGCAUGUCCAGUCCUUGUAUGUAGUCUGCCAACUUUUUUUGGGUAAAUAGUUGCAAAUUGUUUGGAUUUUUUUAAAAUGCCUUUUCUUUCUUUUCUUUUGAAACUCCAUUUGUACCCAUGUUUUCUUAUGUUUAAUCUCUUUAUUUUUUUGAGGUGGAAAUGGUGACGAUAAUUCUGCAUUUUUUAUGUUUUGAAUUACAAUAUAGAAGUUGGUUAUUUUUGGCCAUUCUCUCCACUUUGUUGGUACUUUGAUUGGCUGAUAUUUUUUUCAGGUGGAGAAGCUUGAGAAUAUCUAGAAAGAAAUUUUGGGAGGAGCAUUUUGUUCAUUAAGGCUGUAGGAAUUUUCUUUAUUGUACUCAAUGUAUUUGAUUGGCUUGACAUAUCUAUAUUGGCCACUUGGACUAGAAUGGUGUUGUAUAUACCAUUGGGAUUUGGAUUGAUGCCUAUUUUAUCUUCUCUCUUGAUAUUAGAGCAUUUAAGUAAGAAAUCUUCUAAUUGAACCCAAGAGUUUAAAAAAUCUUCAAUCCGUGUCUUUUGGGUUGAGAAAAUAUUUGAAGGAAUGCUUCACUAGAAAUUUUGUGAGGGUUAUUCCAAAUAUAGUUUUGCGACAUGAUUAAUGAGA
rnacentral:lncRNA from 1 species